GACAGAGGGUGCAAACGUUGUUCGGAAUUACUGGGCAUAAAGAGCACGUAGGUGGUUCGUUAAGUCACGUGUGAAAUCCCCCGGCUCAACCGGGGAAUUGCGCGUGAUACUGGCGAACUCGAGGCGGGUAGGGGUGAGCGGAACUCCAGGUGGAGCGGUGAAAUGCGUAGAUAUCUGGAGGAACACCGGUGGCGAAGGCGGCGUUCUGGACUGUAACUGACACUGAAAAACGAAAGCCAGGGGAGCAAACGGG
rnacentral:rRNA from 1 species